GCCCAGCUAGCUCAGUCGGUAGAGCAUGAGACUCUGAGUCUCAGGGUUCAAGUCCCAUGGUAGGCA
rnacentral:tRNA from 1 species